UACAAAGAUCAGGACAGAGCUGUCACUGUUAGACAGUAAGGAUCAUGUCAGAGCUUUGCUAAAGGUCAAAGAUAUACAGCAACUUGGCAAGAUCACCAAGACCGCCUCAGCCAUCCAUCAUGUCCUCACAGAUAUUUUCAUCCCUGAGAAUGGAUAAAAAAAUAACUCCAAAAAAUCAAUAAUUGUAUUGUCUGACGGGAAAAUGGCAGGAGACUCAAUGGGUCUUACAGAUGUUUUGAACAUGCCACAAAUGAAAGGUGUCACCCGCUAUUCCAUAGGAGUUGGUAGCGGCAUUCUGGAUAAACCUGAAGCAAUAGAAGAGAUGACACAAAUAGCAGAUCCUGAUAAGUUUUACAAGGUUUCCAAA